UACGAAGGGAGCUAGCGUUACUCGGAAUAACUGGGCGUAAAGCGCAUGUAGGCGGAAAUACAAGUCAGAGGUGAAAGCCCUGGGCUCAACCCAGGAAUUGCCUUUGAAACUGUAUUUCUUGAGUAUGACAGAGGAUGGUGGAAUUUCCAGUGUAGAGGUGAAAUUCGUAGAUAUUGGAAAGAACACCGGUGGCGAAGGCGACCAUCUGGGUCAUAACUGACGCUGAGAUGCGAAAGCGUGGGGAGCGAACGGG
rnacentral:rRNA from 1 species